CAUUAGAUGACUGAAAACAAGUAAUGGUCUCUUAAACCAAACCAUAGUAAAGUAGUGCCUACUUCUAAUG
rnacentral:tRNA from 1 species